UGGCCACACCUGACCUGUCCAGGGUUGGAGGAUGGGAGUGAGGGAACCAGCACGCAUCACACGUGAACUCUACAGUUGAGUAUGCCACUCAAUGCUUUCUUCGCAUUGCCUCGUUUAUUCCUAAAACCAGUCCACAAACUUUUAGAAGGGGGGUGUUUUGAUGCCCACCCCGUGGGUAAGGAAAUUGAAGUCAGAGAGGUUAAGAAACUUGCCGAAGGUCGCACAGUAAAUGGGGGAGCGAGUUUGGAACCUAGGGUGUCCACCUCUACUCGAGACAGGCAGGGGACAGUCGGGCCAGACUCGGGGCUAUUGAUCUGUCACCUGGUUAUGAGACUUUGGUUAUGAGACUUCGGGAGAGAUCGGAGGCCUCCAAUCUCCCGAGAGCCUCAGCUCAGUCCCCCUCAAGAGGAUGCUUCCUACUGGAUAGUUGUUGUUCUGGGGAACUCCCCAAACGUGUCCCCAACAGUCGGGAGCCAUCGGGGCUGAUGAUGACAGAUGUCUCCACGCAUCUGCCUCAUGCAUCCUCCUGACUGCACACAAGCGUGAGGGUACACGCCCGGCCUGAGCUGGUACGCGUCCAUCUUUGGCCCUGACCUUGGGGCCCCGGCUCCCGUGACUGGUCCUUCCGGCCUGUUGACCUUCUCCGUGCUCCUGGUACAUUCGCACCCCCACACCUUUGCCCGGGCUGCGACUCCCCACCUAGGAUGCCCCCUCAACUUCUUCCUCGUUCAAAUGUGACCGCUGUUUCAGCCUCCAGCUCAAGUCAUGCCUUCCCCAGCAGCUCGUACAAGCUCCUAAAUACAGUCUAGCCCCACAUGGCCUGAAAAGCUGCCGUUUGGCGACCUAGCCUUCCAGAGACGCACGGGCUUUCCGGAGCCUUCUAGAUGCUCCCAGGGACGCAUCUAGAGCAGUCUGGGCCCCAAAUGGGUUGUGAGCACUCUGAGGGCAGGGGCUGAAUUUAAAUGCCCUCUCUGCUUGGCACAGGGAAGACUGGCUGGGAGCCCAUGGCUUAGGGUCUAACAGCCCCAUCUCCGCCACUUUCUCGCCGUGUGACUCAGCGUCUGGCAGGCCGCAAACGCUCGGUCCGUGGGAAGCAUGGCUGCUGUUGUUUUCAUGGCUAUUAUUUUUAUUCCCAAGAGGCUUUCCGGAGCAGCAGCGUAACCAGGUUCACGGGAGCCUGGGCCCUGGAGUCCGACCAUCCUGAGUUCGAAUCUCACCCGCUCACUAGUUGUACAAAAUUGGGGAACGUGAGCAGCGCAAAUGUGGGAGCCCGGUCCUGCUGUCCACUGUCUCCGGGUGCGCAGGAGCGUACCUGGCCUGAGCGUGGGCUCACCGAUCGUCACCACCGGACGCGGGAAUGCCCGAGAACUACGGUCAUGAUCAGUCUCGCUCCCCCGAAAGCUAGAGAAAGCUAG